CGGACUCAAUGCACACUUUAUUACAUUUGCUCUGCGUAAAUCGUAAUUCGGUUGUUACCAGAUAAGAAAAAUAAAAUAAAAAGACAUGCCGUGGGUUUCCAAUCAGGUGCCAAAUCGUAUCAUUCAUAUCUGGCUUUAAUUAGAAACUGGCAUUCAGAAACAUGUUUCUUGUUCGAAAUUUAAAAAAAAUCUUACCAUGUUCUCGAUUUGAAUGUAAUGGUAUAAUAUAAAAGCACGUCGAGAUACUCGAUCAGUACAACAAAAUCUCUCAAGUGACAAAACAUAAAAAGACUAAAAAAACCAUUCAUACCAAUUUUACAGAAACGCUGAAGUGAAAACUUUGAUACUUUUAAAUAUUAGCCUUUGCUUCGAUCUCUAUAAGAAUAUGUGUGGAGGACCCUGCGGUUCUUGCUGCGGCCCAUGCUGCGGCCCCUGCUCUCCGUGCAUCACCAUUUACACGUGCUGCACGAAGAUAUGUUAAAUUCGGAAACAUAUCGACGCGGGUGUCGUCGAUGACAACCAUCAGUGUUAAGUGCAAUAGUGAUGUUUUGUGUAAAUAAAAAAUAAGUGUAA